UGGCAGCCAGCGAGUAGAGGAAGGCGAAGACUGCAAUGGUGACAAAGAACUCCGCCGACGAGGAGAAGUCCCCUAUCAAGGAGAGUGUUUCUCGACGCUUGCCUUCACAAGUGGGAGCAUCGAAAUUCACUUGAUGCAACCUGAACGGGUAGGCAAAGGCUAUGUCAAUGUUGAGGUCACUCUCUGACUUGUUUGCACAGUCCACACUGAGGCGCA
rnacentral:lncRNA from 1 species